rnacentral:lncRNA from 1 species
CACAAAGAAUAGGUAGUAAUGUUAAUUUCAUGGAGGUUUAUCUAUCCAUUUUGAAAGAAAUGAGACAAGGACUGAAAAAUGUGUUUUGCCAGAAAGGAAGAAAAUGCCAUUGAAUGAACCCCAAAUUAAAAAAAAAACAAAACAAAAAAAAAAAAAAAAAAAAAAAAAAAAACCUCUAGGGAAGUAAGGAGAGAAGAAACAAGCAGCACUUGAUGCACUUUGUGAAGAGAUUUUCCACUUUGUGAAGUGAUCUGUAUUUUCCUGAGAUGAGCUCAAGGAAGGCAUGCAAGUGUAUUAUAGCUUACCCAGGGAAACUCCUUUAGCUCAGAAGCUGCUGCAAAAAGCAAUGGGAACAGCUCCUUCUCCUAGGGCUGGGAGCUUCACUGCAACCUGAGUAUUGCAACCUAAUUUGAAAAGUUAAUGGCUAAGAAUGUCAGAGCAAGGGAGGGAAUUUGCAAAUGAACUUAAAACAUGACAUUUGAGCAAGUGCCAGGAGAACAGAAAUGCCCUCUGCGCCUCAGCACAGGCCAGAAUAACAGCAGGAGAUGCCAGGCAAGAGUCUGUGCCUUCAGAUCUUCUAGCAGUAAAUCAAAGAAGUGCGUCAGGGCCGGUUUGGCCUGGUGGUGCCCUCAGAGCCUGACAUGAAGUAGCCAAGCAAGAUGAUAAGGAAAAAGAAGAAGAGGCACUGGAUAUUCAGAGAAGAUUACAUUAAAGGUGCAUGGCAUGCACUUUCUGUACAAGCUGGAGUGAAAGACCACUCAUUCACAAUUCACUUAGUCUAGUGAAGGUGAUGAUCAUCCCCUUUCAGAGGAUAAUGUAAGGAAGUAGAAUUUAGGAGAUAAAAAACACUUAUGUCUUUUGACUAUAUGCUCUCUUUUUCUUAUUGCGGGAGCUGGAUGAAAGUCAUUUCAAACAUCAAACCGUGUUGAAAUAAGAAUGAUUUGGGAAAUGGAGCAAAACAUUCUCGAAUAACAAACAGGAGCAGUGAAGUCAAUCCAUGAAGGGACAUAGGCACUUUUACCUUCCCAUCUGCUGUUUAGAUUUUAAACAGCAUUUGCAUUUUAAAACAGAAGUGUUAGCACAGCACUGCAUGUUCACGUAACCUUUAUGGAAAUGCAUCUACAUUUACUGAAAUGAGACCUAAUGUUUUCCCUUCCCAGACAACAGUUCACCCUAUCUGACUAAAGCAUCAUGCCAAUUAUUCCCUGUAAUACAAUAAAACUAUUGUUUUACUAUUGAGUAUUUCCUUA